rnacentral:rRNA from 1 species
UACGUAGGGGGCAAGCGUUGUCCGGAUUUAUUGGGCGUAAAGAGCGUGUAGGCGGCCUGGAAGGUCAGCUGUGAAAACUCGAGGCUCAACCUCGAGACGUCGGUUGAAACCACCUGGCUAGAGUCCGGAAGAGGAGAGUGGAAUUCCCGGUGUAGCGGUGAAAUGCGCAGAUAUCGGGAAGAACACCCGUGGCGAAGGCGGCUCUCUGGGCAUCUCCUGACGCUGAGGCGCGAAAGCGUGGGGAGCAAACAGG